AGCCCAACAGCUAGCCUAUUCACCCUAAAUCCAACAAUAAAAAUAUUACUAACCCCAAAUACCCUAAACAACUUAAUCUAAACCAUUUUUCCUCCCAAGUAAGAGUGACAGAAAAGGAACAACUGUAGAGCCAUAGAAAAAGUACCGCAAGGGAAAGCUGAAAGAGAAAUGAAAAAAACCAGUAAAGCACCGAAAAGCAGAGACUAAUCCUCGUACCUUUUGCAUCAUGAUUUAGCAAGUCCCUCCAAGCAAAAAGUCUUUUAGUUUGAUUUCCCGAAACUAGACGAGCUACUCCAAGACAGCCUAUCUAUAGGGCUAACCCGUCUCUGUGGCAAAAGAGUGGGAAGAGCUUCGAGUAGAGGUGACAGACCUACCGAGUCUAGUUAUAGCUGGUUGCCUGGGAACUAAAUAGAAGUUUAGCCUCUUAUCUUCUCCUCCCAACCUCUUGGCCCUCCAUAGACCAGGUCCAGAGAAUAUAUAAGAGAGUUAGUCAAAGGGGGUACAGCCCCUUUGAAUCAAGAUACAACUUCCCUAGAUGGAUUACAAUCAAAAUUAACUAAGGUUGAUGUUUCAGUGGGCCUAAAAGCAGCCACCAGAAAAAAUAGCGUUAAAGCUUAAACAUAUUACCCACCUAUUAUAUUGAUAACAAAUUGCACUCCUCUUAAGCCUACCAGGCCGUCCUAUCUAUCGAUAGGAAAGAUUAUGCUAAUAUGAGUAAUAAGAGAACACGCUUCUCUCCGAGCAUAUGUGUACAUCGGAACGGACCAACCCCCGAAAAUUUAACGGCCCUAAUCAAAGAAGGAAACAGAGCAAAAAUAAAUAACAAGAAAAGCCUCUAGUAAAAUAACCGUUAACCCCACACUGGUAUGCAAAUCCGGAAAGACUAAAAAGAGAAGAAGGAACUCGGCAAAACCUGCUCAAGCCUCGCCUGUUUACCAAAAACAUCGCCUCUUGAGAUCCCCUUAUAAGAGGUCCCGCCUGCCCCGUGACUCUACAGUUUAACGGCCGCGGUAUCUUGACCGUGCAAAGGUAGCGCAAUCACUUGUCUUUUAAAUGAGGACCUGUAUGAAUGGCAAAACGAGGGCUUAACUGUCUCCUUCCCUAAGUCAAUGAAAUUGAUCUUCCCGUGCAGAAGCGGGAAUACUAACAUAAGACGAGAAGACCCUAUGGAGCUUUAGACACAAAAACAGAUCAUGUUAAACCCCCUUGUUUAUAAGGUAAAACCAAUUGAAACCUGUUGUAUGUCUUCGGUUGGGGCGACCACGGGGAAACAACCAACCCCCACGUGGAGAAGAAACACCUUUUGUUUCCAAACCCAAGAGCUACAGCUCUAAGUAGCAGAAUUUCUGACCUUGCAGAUCCGGUAUACCGAUCAACGAACCAAGUUACCCUAGGGAUAACAGCGCAAUCCUCUUUUAGAGCCCAUAUCGACAAGAGGGUUUACGACCUCGAUGUUGGAUCAGGACAUCCUAAUGGUGCAGCCGCUAGUAAGGGUUCGUUUGUUCAACGAUUAAAGUCCUACGUGAUCUGAGUUCAGACCGGAGUAAUCCAGGUCAGUUUCUAUCUAUGAAAUGAUUUCUUCUAGUACGAAAGGACCGAAGAAAAGAGGCCAAUACCCCAGGUACGCCUCAUCCUCACCUAAUGAAAACAACUAAAAUAGACGACAGGACAUAACCCCUCCCGCUAUAGAUAAUAGCAA
rnacentral:rRNA from 1 species